UUGAACGCUGGCGGCAGGCCUAACCCCUGCAAGUCGAACGGUAACAGGAAGAAGCUUGCUUCUUUGCUGACGAGUGGCGGACGGGUGAGUAAUGUCUGGGAAACUGCCUGAUGGAGGGGGAUAACUACUGGAAACGGUAGCUAAUACCGCAUAACGUCGCAAGACCAAAGAGGGGGACCUUCGGGCCUCUUGCCAUCGGAUGUGCCCAGAUGGGAUUAGCUAGUAGGUGGGGUAACGGCUCACCUAGGCGACGAUCCCUAGCUGGUCUGAGAGGAUGACCAGCCACACUGGAACUGAGACACGGUCCAGACUCCUACGGGAGGCAGCAGUGGGGAAUAUUGCACAAUGGGCGCAAGCCUGAUGCAGCCAUGCCGCGUGUAUGAAGAAGGCCUUCGGGUUGUAAAGUACUUUCAGCGGGGAGGAAGGGAGUAAAGUUAAUACCUUUACUCAUUGACGUUACCCGCAGAAGAAGCACCGGCUAACUCCGUG
rnacentral:rRNA from 1 species